CCAAUGAGAGACUUACAACCCAGCCAAUGAGAGGUCAGGGUCCUUUCAGGUCCUAAGCGCUCCAAUGGAUUUUCCUUUCAAGGGUUCUCACACCUUCCCUCUUUCCUCUAUGAAAGAGCAGCUUUCUUUGUUCCCUGGACUUGCCUCUGGUUUGGCUGUAGCUUGCUUGUCCCAAAUGGCAACUCUGGUAUUCCUGAACAGACCCAUUUUGUUGUUAAAAGAACGGACAGUUUUAAGAUUAAUAGCCCUUGGUGAUCAGAAGUGGGAUCCAGAGAAGAUUCCCCUCCCCACCCCCCAACCAACAACUCCAAGGCUGGUGAACAAACAGGGACUUGUACCUACACAACCAGUUGAGCUCACUGCAUCCUGCCAUCCCUGGAGUCUGAAGGUAUUUUUCAUCUAUACCAGACAACCUCAAACAUUAAAGACUGAGCCAAAACAAGCCCCCUCCCUCCCAAAAAAAGAAGAAUUCAGGAAACAAAGAUGCAAAAGAUGUAAGGUACAAAAGAAAAAAAAACAAUUAUAGUAAUUUUUAGAAAGAUUAAGAUCAAAAGGAACACCCAGAGAACAAGAAAUAGCUCUUGGAAAAUACAAUGGUUAAAAUAAAUUUAGUAGGAGGGAUGGAGGAUAAAUUCAUGAAAAUCUCUUGAAAAGUAGAACAAAAAGACAGAGAGCUGGAAAAUAAGAAGGUCAAAUAUACUAAAGAAGUUUCAGUGGGAGAGCCCAAAGAAAAUUGAGAGGAUAGUAUCAAUAAACAAAUACAAGAAACAUUUUCAGCGCUGGGGCUGUAAAUUACCUGUUUGAAAGGAUCCAGUGUAUCAGAAAGAAGAAUGAAAAUAGACCUACAGCAAGGUACUCAGUCUUGCAUUGUCAAAAUGUCAAAACUGGGGAGAUGAUACCAUCAGUGUAUGCAGCAGAGGAAUAAAGUCACAUACAAAUACCAGCAAUGAA